rnacentral:misc_RNA from 1 species
GAUGAAGAACGUAGCAAAAUGCGAUAAGUAAUGUGAAUUACAGAAUUCAGUGAAUCAUCGAAUCUUUGAACGCACAUUGCGCCCGCUGGUAUUCCGGCGGGCAUGCCUGUUCGAGCGUCAUUUCAACCCUCAAGCCCCCGGGUUUGGUGUUGGGGAUCGGCUCUGCCCUUCUGGGCGGUGCCGCCCCCGAAAUACAUUGGCGGUCUCGCUGCAGCCUCCAUUGCGUAGUAGCUAACACCUCGCAACUGGAACGCGGCGCGGCCAUGCCGUAAAACCCCAACUUCUGAAUGUUGACCUCGGAUCAGGUAGGAAUACCCGCUGAACUUAAGCAUAUCAAUAAGCGGAGGA